rnacentral:rRNA from 1 species
UACGGGGGGGGCAAGCGUUGUUCGGAAUUACUGGGCGUAAAGGGCUCGUAGGCGGCCAACUAAGUCAGACGUGAAAUCCCUCGGCUUAACCGGGGAACUGCGUCUGAUACUGGAUGGCUGGAGUUUGGGAGAGGGAUGCGGAAUUCCAGGUGUAGCGGUGAAAUGCGUAGAUAUCUGGAGGAACACCGGUGGCGAAGGCGACAUCCUGGACCGGUAUUGACGCUGAGGCGCGAAAGCCAGGGGAGCAAACGGG